GGAAAGCUUUUCACAAGGCGGACAGCUGCUUGUUGCUUUUGUGCUAGAUUCUCUGUCGUGGGGUAUAAGAAGAGCGAUGAGCGAUGCUGAUAGAUGAGCUCCCUUGAGGUUGACUUUAAACCUCAUGUUUGAUGUGCUGGUUAUCAUGAGAGACUUUCUCUGAAAUCAUCCAUCUGUUUUCUGUGGAGUGAAAGAUGACGAACAGCUCUGUACCUGUCUGGGAUGCUCAGUUUGCCACAUUUUACAAAAUCCGACAAUGCUUAAUAUAUUCCAAGGGUGCAGGACAGAUGAAGGUGAGCUUACAAAUCAAACCAAUCAAAUUAAGCACACUGAGACCUAGUUUGUAAAGAAUUACCCUAGCAGUGCAUUAACAGGGAACAUAUUCAUAGUAUUACCAAUAUUAUUGCAUAUAUUAGCAAGUAACAGAUAUACAAUAGGGUCCAAAAGUCUGAGUUCGUAUCAUAUGAAGAUAAAGAACAAGAUGCUCUCUGAAUCACAAAUCAUGCUGGAGAACAUGAUCAUUAGGUUUUAAACUUGUGGAGUUCAUGUCAGAUUAAUUGCAGCUGCCAUAAAACUAGACAUUUUGAAAUUGAUGAUUAAUUUUUAAUUCAACUUUCACUUAAGUUUUUAUGCUUAUAAUACAUUUUGUAAUUAAAAAAAGUUUUUUCAUUAAAAUUAGAAAAUGGCAAAGUAUUAGUCUUUUUUUCUAGUGGUUUCAAACUUUUGCUACCCACUGUGAUAUAGAUCAUAAAGAUGGGAAAGUGAAGAAGAAAGAAGGUUAAGAAGAGCUCAGUGCUGCUUCUGCAGCCCAGCCUACAGGCUCACAGCUGGGAGGCACUUCUGCUCUGCCCUGGGCCUUUCUUGGAGGAGUCAGUGGUGCGUUCACAUAGACACACAAACACACACACACAACACACA